CUGAUCCAGAGGACGAGUUUCUUCCCAGAUCGCUUGUUUAAAAGAAUAACUCAUAUACCCAAUCAGAAUGGUGUACUAUUGCUCAUGACGUGGACACUGGUGUGUUUUCUUGGCACGAAGGAGCACAAAAGGAAAACCCACCUGGAAGCAGCUUAAAG